GAACCAGUACCGUGAGGGAAAGGUGAAAAGCACCCCGACGAGGGGAGUGAAACAGUACCUGAAACCGAACGCCUACAAUCAGUUGGAGGGGCUUUACGCCCUGACAGCGUACCUUUUGUAUAAUGGGUCAUCGACUUGGUCUCACAAGCAAGCUUAAGCCGUUAGGUGUAGGCGCAGCGAAAGCGAGUCUUAAUAGGGCGUUGAGUUUGUGGGAUCAGACCCGAAACCGAGUGAUCUAGGCAUGACCAGGAUGAAGGUAAGGUAACACUUACUGGAGGUCCGAACCCACACCUGUUGAAAAAGGUCGGGAUGAGUUGUGCCUAGGGGUGAAAGGCCAAUCAAACUCGGAGAUAGCUGGUUCUCUGCGAAAUCUAUUUAGGUAGAGCGUCAUCCGAAUACCCCCGGGGGUAGAGCACUGGAUGGGUAAUGGGGCCCCACAGGCUUACUGAUCCUAACCAAACUCCGAAUACCGAGGAGUACUAGAUGGCAGACACACGGCGAAUGCUAACGUCCGUCGUGAAGAGGGAAACAACCCUGACCUACAGCUAAGGCCCCUAAU
rnacentral:rRNA from 1 species